rnacentral:rRNA from 1 species
CGUCGGGGACGCGGAGGGACAUUACCGAGUUUACAACUCCCAAACCCCUGUGAACAUACCUUAAUGUUGCCUCGGCGGAUCAGCCCGCGCCCCGUAAAACGGGACGGCCCGCCAGAGGACCCAAACUCUAAUGUUUCUUAUUGUAACUUCUGAGUAAAACAAACAAAUAAAUCAAAACUUUCAACAACGGAUCUCUUGGUUCUGGCAUCGAUGAAGAACGCAGCAAAAUGCGAUAAGUAAUGUGAAUUGCAGAAUUCAGUGAAUCAUCGAAUCUUUGAACGCACAUUGCGCCCGCUGGUAUUCCGGCGGGCAUGCCUGUUCGAGCGUCAUUUCAACCCUCAAGCCCCCGGGUUUGGUGUUGGGGAUCGGCUCUGCCCUUCUGGGCGGUGCCGCCCCCGAAAUACAUUGGCGGUCUCGCUGCAGCCUCCAUUGCGUAGUAGCUAACACCUCGCAACUGGAACGCGGCGCGGCCAUGCCGUAAAACCCCAACUUCUGAAUGUUGACCUCGGAUCAGGUAGGAAUACCCGCUGAACUUAAGCAUAUCAAAAGCGGGAGGAA